CUAUGCUACAAUCAAAGAACGCAAUGGGCGUUUUCUAUGUUGCUCUUUUGAGAAGCCUUUUCCAGUUCGGAGCGCGGCGCCUUGGUCUUGCGCAAUGGAGUCUCGUGAACCCCGUCAGGUCCGGAAGGAAGCAGCGGUAAGCGAACCGCUUCAUGUGCCGCGAGGGCGCCUGGGGGUCGCGCCCCGAAGUGGAAAAGGAGUAUUU
rfam:Selenomonas sputigena ATCC 35185, complete genome.